UACGGAGGGUGCGAGCGUUGUCCGGAAUCACUGGGCGUAAAGGGCGCGUAGGCGGCUCGUGAAGUCAGUGGUGAAAGCCCAGGGCUCAACUCUGGGUCGGCCACUGAUACUCGCGAGCUCGAGUUUGGUAGAGGCAGAUGGAAUUCCCGGUGUAGUGGUGGAAUGCGUAGAUAUCGGGAGGAACACCAGUGGCGAAGGCGGUUGCCUGGAGCUUUGCUGACGCUGAUGCGCGAAAGCGUGGGGAGCGAUCCGG
rnacentral:rRNA from 1 species